rnacentral:rRNA from 1 species
UCGAGAAUCUUCCGCAAUGGACGCAAGUCUGACGGAGCGACGCCGCGUGCUGGAUGAAGGCCCUCGGGUUGUAAACAGCUGUCGUAGGGGAGGAAAUUUUGACCGAUCCUAGGAGGAAGCACAGGCUAAGUUCGUGCCAGCAGCCGCGGUAAUACGAACUGUGCAAACGUUAUUCGGAAUCACUGGGCUUAAAGGGUGCGUAGGCGGGUUAGUAGGUCAGAUGUGAAAGCCCACGGCUCAACCGUGGAAUUGCGUUUGAAACCACUAGUCUUGAGGGGAUCAGAGGAGAGCGGAACUGAUGGUGGAGCGGUGAAAUGCGUUGAUAUUAUCAGGAACACCGGUGGCGAAAGCGGCUCUCUGGGAUCCUUCUGACGCUGAGGCACGAAAGCUAGGGGAGCGAACGGG